AUCGAGCUGACGAGUCCUACAUAAGACGAAACGCGCGUCCUGGAU
rfam:Schistosoma rodhaini strain Burundi genome assembly, scaffold: SROB_scaffold0009422